rnacentral:rRNA from 1 species
GCGUACGACCAUACUUGGCUGAAAGCACCACAUCCCGUCCGAUUUGUGAAGUUA